rnacentral:ncRNA from 2 species
CUUUUAUCAAGAAUGGUGGAGGGACUGGCCCUAUGAAACCUAGCAACAGCUAACGCUCAUUAUGUUGGAAUUGUGCUAAAUCCUGCAGGUAUAUCCUGAUAGAUAAGAG